ensembl:lncRNA
CCCCACUACCACUAUCAGAUUAGAGCCAUAAGGGACACUAGGAAUCUGCCACCCUACUACCAUUAUCAUAUUAGAGCCAUAAGGGACACUAGACAUCCACCACCCUACUGCCAUUAUCAUAUUAGAGCCAUAAGGGACACUAGACAUCCACCACCCUACUACCAUUAUCAUAUUAGAGCCAUAAGGGACACUAGACAUCCACCACCCUACUACCAUUAUCAUAUUAGAGCCAUAAUGGACACUAGGAAUCUACCACCCCACUACCACUAUCAGAUUAGAGCCAUAAGGGACACUAGGAAUCUACCACCCCACUACCACUUAUCAGAUUAGAGCCAUAAGGGACACUAGACAUCCACCACCCUACUGCCAUUAUCAUAUUAGAGCCAUAAGGGACACUAGACAUCCACCACCCUACUACCAUUAUCAUAUUAGAGCCAUAAGGGACACUAGACAUCCACCACCCUACUGCCAUUAUCAUAUUAGAGCCACAAGGGACACUAGGAAUCUACCACCCCACUACCACUAUCAGAUUAGAGCCAUAAGGGACACUAGGAAUCUACAACCCCACUACCACUAUCCUAUUAGAGCCAUAAGGGACCCUAGGAAUCUACCACCCCACUACCACUAUCAGAUUAGAGCCAUAAGGGACACUAGGAAUCUGCCACCCCUACUACCACUAUCAGAUUAGAGCCAUAAGGGACACUAGACAUCUACCACCCUACUACCAUUAUCAGAUUAGAGCCAUAAGGGACACUAGACAUCCACCACCCUACUACCAUUAUCAUAUUAGAGCCAUAAGGGACACUAGACAUCCACCACCCUACUGCCAUUAUCAUAUUAGAGCCAUAAGGGACACUAGACAUCCACCACCCUACUACCAUUAUCAUAUUAGAGCCAUAAGGGACACUAGGAAUCUACCACCCCACUACCACUAUCAGAUUAGAGCCAUAAGGGACACUAGGAAUCUGCCACCCCCCACUACCACUAUCAGAUUAGAGCCAUAAGGGACACUAGGAAUCUACCACCCCAACUACCACUAUCAGAUUAGAGCCAUAAGGGACACUAGGAAUCUGCCACCCCCCACUACCACUAUCAGAUUAGAGCCAUAAGGGACACUAGGACUCUACCACCCCACUACCACUAUCAGAUUAGAGCCAUAAGGGACACUAGGAAUCUACCACCCCACUACCACUAUCAGAUUAGAGCCAUAAGGGACACUAGGAAUCUACCACCCCACUACCACUAUCAGAUUAGAGCCAUAAGGGACCCUAGGAAUCUACCACCCCACUACCACUAUCAGAUUAGAGCCAUAAGGGACACUAGGAAUCUACCACCCCACUACCACUAUCAGAUUAGAGCCAUAAGGGACACUAGGAAUCUGCCACCCCCCACUACCACUAUCAGAUUAGAGCCAUAAGGGACACUAGACAUCCACCACCC